UCCCUCAUAGCUCAGUCGGUACAGAACCUGCCUGCAGUGCAGGAGACCCAGGUUCGAUUCCUAGGUUGGGAA
rfam:TPA: Bos taurus chromosome 21, whole genome shotgun sequence.